ACUGGAGCAACAACUGCUGGUAUAACCUGAACGCGGUGGAGGUUAUUGGAGAGAUGCAUGUCCGGGAUCCUCUGCUUCCGCCGUACACCACGGUCGGCGUCGGAAUUCGCUAACCCCAGGUUGCCUUUCAGUGCAAGGUUGCCUUGCAUUCUGACCCUAUGCUUUACUUAAUCCAAGGCGAGCCGUUGUUCAUUUCCCAAGCCCUUUGCAAGGUUUGAAACGUCUGGCAAAUUCUGAUCCUAUGGUCAUGUGCUCCAUGGAGGAGUGCUGAGCAUAUUAUUGAUGGAGCUGGAGAGCUGCACCUUGAAAUUCAUUUAAAGGAUCUGCAUGAGGACUUCAUGGGUGGUGCUGAAAUUACUGUUUUUUUCCUCUUGGAAUUAUGAAUGGACGGUGCUAUCCCACUUGGAAUUUUCUACAUCCAAGAAAACUGGAGCUUGAUGAUUGUGUACCUCAGAAAAGCAUCAUAGUGAAGUUACUCAUUUUAGGUUGGCACACCGCAGGUUAAUUGCUUCGUCAAUGACUCUGGUGUAGAUGUAAGGUUCUUUUCUUAGGUACUGGAUAACAGGUGUUUUACUUUUGUACUCACCGCACGCUUGCCGUUGGAGAAGGCACAUGAGGGUGUUGUGGCGGAGGCGUUUGGUGUUGCUCUCAUGGGUAUUGUGGUGGCAAUGUCAAGGCAUCUCACCACAUCCAGACAACAACCUUGAUCCACAUGUUGUAUUGGGAGUUGGAAGGAAUUGCAUAUAAGACUACCACAGGUGCGACCUAACCGACUUGGAUUUCGUUGUUAUCAUGAUCCAUUAGAUGUCGCCACCGCUGGCUGGACCUUCUGGUGUUUGAUAAUCUAACCUUUGCAGAUUUGUUGUCUUCAAAUACGGCUAAAUUCGAAGGCACCAUGAUCUCAAAGCAAGCACUGAGUCUCGAAUUGAAGGUGUUUGAUGAAAAGGCAAGCAGGUUGCAUUGAAAUAUUAAUCCAUAGUUGCUAAAGAGAUGGACGAGAUCACAGAGCCAAGGAGAGGUGGUGCCCACUCACCGCGCGCUUGCUACUGAAGAUGUGUUAUUUGACUUAAACAGUUUUCAGAUUUAUUUUCUUUGCUUCUUUGAUAUUUUUUAUGUUAUGGUUACUGAUUGAAACAAUCAUUUUUCAGCGAGAGGCAAUUUCAAAUAGAUUUCUUCCCCUUCCCCUCAUGCAUUGUGCGGCAAAUUAGUGCGGCUGAACGGACUGCACUACAUGGGUUUCAGCUAGGGGGUGCGAGAGGCAAUUUUUCAACUGACUCUAGGUGCUCAAGUGCUCGGUCUUAACAACCGUACUAUUAUAUCUCUUUUUUCGGACUCUCCGGUAACGAGUGAAGGAGAGGUGGUGCAGGGGGGCCGUGUGAAGCAACACUGGUGCUGGCUACAGCUCAAGAAAAUGAAGAAGAGAUAUGUCUAUGUUAGUGAAUGCAUGUGUGAUCAAAAUAAUUUACAUGAGGUAAUCAGUUCCCUGGUUAUUACCGGGUACCCGCCACUUAACAUGAAGUGCUCUCUCGGGAUGACGAGAAGCUAUGGUUGUGAUAACCGGUGCUCAGAAGACUAUCUAUACAUGUAGGUAGUCAUGCUGACGUGCCUUGGUUUGCCUACCAUACCUACCAGUUGUUAAGCUUUGUCUUCAUAAUAGUAUAUGUACUUUACUGUUUGUUCUUACCAUAGUGCGUAUGCUCUAUACUUCCAUGUUUUCGCAAUAUAUAUUUGACAUUCUGGUGGUUUGUAAAUAUUAGAGCGAAAGAACUAUCUACCCUGGAGACUCAUGAAUGUAACCUUAUGUAUGGCUUUAAAUUAAAGUGCCAGUAUAUAUUUUUUUUCUUACAA